AAGGUGCCCCCGCAGCCCCGCACGGAGAGCGGAGCCCUCACCGCUGCACCCCCGGCUCUUCGGAGCCCCCCGCACCGAGAACAGUGGAUCUUUGAUCAACCCUCACGGUGUGCCUGAAAACCUGAGACAAGAAACAGCAUCCUGCUUUCAUCUGGGCAUGGUGACACCACCUUUGCACUCUCCAAAAGCUUUCCUAUGCCAGCAGUAGGCAGCUCUUAAAGGCAUCACCUUCUUUUAUGGCCACUGUUGAUGUGUUUGGCCUUCAUGUAACAUUUAUCCCUGCACCUGAAGCAUUUACACCCUGAAUGAAAUGGAGAAAUAAGAAUUUCCCUGUGAAAACAGCAAAGUGCUGCAACCAACUGCAAAGUGCUGCAGGCUUUGCAUGGCUCCUGCAGGGCAGUGCCAGCUGAUGGCACUCCCCAGCUGGCAGAGCUGGGCAGUAACUCCUGGCUGAACAUGUGUCCAUGAGAUCUGUGCCCUGUUCCACCCAGGGCAGGGCCAGCACAGGCUCCUUCUGUGGGCUGAGCUCAUUUCUGACAGCACUCCCAGCCAAUUCUCCAGCCAAAGCAUUUGGUGGCUGCUUCCGAGCAAGCACUCUGGAAUUUAUCCUGGCAUGUCAGUCAGAUCACAUGCUUAUUGCACAGCUGAAUUCUUAAGUUUAAGAACUUAGGGUGGAAAAAAAAAAUAAGGAGUUAGAAAAGAAUAUUUAGGGAAAUGGUGUGAAAUAGGAAAAAGCACCAGAAUUACACACAUGUUAAACUAAUUCAAAAUAAAGGCCAGUUCUGUUUUAUUUGCAUGUUCUUGGGUUUAGGUCAAUGGCUUAAAAGUUGCAAGUGUGUUUGCUACACAAAUAGAACAUAAACACUUCCACAGAAUCUAUUUUUACAUUGUUGAGGAAGAAGUCUACAAAUAGUCAAACACAUAUUCCUGAAUUGUUUCUUUUGGAAAAUGGUUUUUGUUUCUGCAGCAGUGGUUUGGAAUUCAUGCUGUUCUUUAGGUCCAGCAUCAGGCUUUCAAAAUGUUCCUUCUUCCUUUUUCUAUUGGAAGGCAUAGCAGCACUUACCUACUUGAAAGAGCUGGUGUAAAAUCCCCAGAUUUUAGAAAAAAUGCUGUAAGAAUCAUUAAUGGAUAGCAGAAGCUUACAAGGAUCCUUGGCAUAUUUAUUUGGAUUGUGUAUGUGUGUGAUAUUUCCCAUGGCUGAAAAAAUUUCUCUGUAACUUCAUAAUUAAAUUAAGUCACAUCAGGUUAUCCUGGUGUGACCUUUGAAGAACUGCAGAAGUAGAGAGUUGCUGAUAUUUUUGCAGUUAGUAACAAUAAUAAAAUACAUGCUUUGUGGUUUUUGCUGAA